GACGAACGCUGGCGGCGUGCCUAAUACAUGCAAGUAGAACGCUGAAGGAGGAGCUUGCUUCUCUGGAUGAGUUGCGAACGGGUGAGUAACGCGUAGGUAACCUGCCUGGUAGCGGGGGAUAACUAUUGGAAACGAUAGCUAAUACCGCAUAAGAGUAGAUGUUGCAUGACAUUUGCUUAAAAGGUGCAAUUGCAUCACUACCAGAUGGACCUGCGUUGUAUUAGCUAGUUGGUGAGGUAACGGCUCACCAAGGCAACGAUACAUAGCCGACCUGAGAGGGUGAUCGGCCACACUGGGACUGAGACACGGCCCAGACUCCUACGGGAGGCAGCAGUAGGGAAUCUUCGGCAAUGGACGGAAGUCUGACCGAGCAACGCCGCGUGA
rnacentral:rRNA from 1 species